rnacentral:tRNA from 1 species
AUAUUUUUAGCUCAGUUGGAUAGAGCAACAGUUUUCUAAACUGCAGGUGAGGGGUUCGAGUCCCUUAAAAUAUA